rnacentral:rRNA from 1 species
GAUGAACGCUAGCUACAGGCUUAACACAUGCAAGUCGAGGGGCAGCAUGGUCUUAGCUUGCUAAGGCCGAUGGCGACCGGCGCACGGGUGAGUAACACGUAUCCAACCUGCCGUCUACUCUUGGACAGCCUUCUGAAAGGAAGAUUAAUACAAGAUGGCAUCAUGAGUCCACAUGUUCACAUGAUUAAAGGUAUUCCGGUAGACGAUGGGGAUGCGUUCCAUUAGAUAGUAGGCGGGGUAACGGCCCACCUAGUCUUCGAUGGAUAGGGGUUCUGAGAGGAAGGUCCCCCACAUUGGAACUGAGACACGGUCCAAACUCCUACGGGAGGCAGCAGUGAGGAAUAUUGGUCAAUGGGCGAGAGCCUGAACCAGCCAAGUAGCGUGAAGGAUGACUGCCCUAUGGGUUGUAAACUUCUUUUAUAAAGGAAUAAAGUCGGGUAUGGAUACCCGUUUGCAUGUACUUUAUGAAUAAGGAUCGGCUAACUCCGUGCCAGCAGCCGCGGUAAUACGGAGGAUCCGAGCGUUAUCCGGAUUUAUUGGGUUUAAAGGGAGCGUAGAUGGAUGUUUAAGUCAGUUGUGAAAGUUUGCGGCUCAACCGUAAAAUUGCAGUUGAUACUGGAUAUCUUGAGUGCAGUUGAGGCAGGCGGAAUUCGUGGUGUAGCGGUGAAAUGCUUAGAUAUCACGAAGAACUCCGAUUGCGAAGGCAGCCUGCUAAGCUGCAACUGACAUUGAGGCUCGAAAGUGUGGGUAUCAAACAGGAUUAGAUACCCUGGUAGUCCACACGGUAAACGAUGAAUACUCGCUGUUUGCGAUAUACAGCAAGCGGCCAAGCGAAAGCGUUAAGUAUUCCACCUGGGGAGUACGCCGGCAACGGUGAAACUCAAAGGAAUUGACGGGGGCCCGCACAAGCGGAGGAACAUGUGGUUUAAUUCGAUGAUACGCGAGGAACCUUACCCGGGCUUAAAUUGCAGAUGAAUUACGGUGAAAGCCGUAAGCCGCAAGGCAUCUGUGAAGGUGCUGCAUGGUUGUCGUCAGCUCGUGCCGUGAGGUGUCGGCUUAAGUGCCAUAACGAGCGCAACCCUUGUUGUCAGUUACUAACAGGUUCCGCUGAGGACUCUGACAGGACUGCCAUCGUAAGAUGUGAGGAAGGUGGGGAUGACGUCAAAUCAGCACGGCCCUUACGUCCGGGGCUACACACGUGUUACAAUGGGGGGUACAGAGGGCCGCUACCACGCGAGUGGAUGCCAAUCCCAAAAACCUCUCUCAGUUCGGACUGGAGUCUGCAACCCGACUCCACGAAGCUGGAUUCGCUAGUAAUCGCGCAUCAGCCACGGCGCGGUGAAUACGUUCCCGGGCCU